rnacentral:tRNA from 1 species
GGGCCCGUAGCUCAGCUGGCUAGAGCGUACGACUGAUAAUCGUAAGGUCGGUGGUUCGAGCCCACUGGCCCACCA